rnacentral:tRNA from 1 species
GGGCCACUAGCUGAAAUGGUAGAGCGCUCGCUUAGCAUGCGAGAGGUACUGGGAUCGAUACCCAGGUGGUCCA